GCCUACGACAUUGAGAUUUCUGCUACAAGGGAAAGGCUAGCGAGUUCAUGUGAUGGUAGAAUAUUAACCUGGGAACCACCUGACAAUGACACCAUAAAAAUCAAUUUUGAUGCCUCUUUUAAUCAAUCGGCAAACUUCUCUACCACAGGAAUCAUUGCACGAAACAAAGAUGGACUGAUAAUGGCAGCAGGUACCUACCCAUGGAAAAAUAUUGCAGAUCCAGUUAUGGCUGAGGCAAGGGCGUGUCUGCAAGCUGUUAUUUUGGCGGAAGAAAUGGGAUUCCAGGAUGUAUGCUUUGAAGGGGACGCGCUAACCAUAAUACGCAAACUGAGAGCCACGGAUGAAGAUAAAUCGUGCAUCCGCAGCUUGAUUAAAGAGAUUAAGGAAA
rnacentral:lncRNA from 1 species